GGGUUGUGAGGUUAAGCGAAUAAGCGUACACGGUGGAUGCCUAGGCAAUCAGAGGCGAUGAAGGACGUGCUAAUCUGCGAAAAGCGUCGGUAAGGUGAUAUGAACCGUUAUACCCGACGAUAUCCGAAUGGGGAAACCCAGUAUCCAAUGGAUACUAUCAUUAACUGAAUCCAUAGGUUAAUGAGGCGAACCGGGAGAACUGAAACAUCUCAGUACCCCGAGGAAAAGAAAUCAACCGAGAUUCCCCUAGUAGCGGCGAGCGAACGGGGAGCAGCCCAGAGUCUUAAUCAAUAACAGUGUCAGGAGAACGGUCUGGAAAGUCCGGCAGUAAAGGGUGAUAGCCCCGUAUCUGAAGAUGCUGUUAUUGUGAACUCGACGAGUAGGGCGGGACACGUGUUAUCCUGUCUGAAUAUGGGGGGACCAUCCUCCAAGGCUAAAUACUCCUGAUUGACCGAUAGUGAACCAGUACCGUGAGGGAAAGGCGAAAAGAACCCCGGCGAGGGGAGUGAAAAAGAACCUGAAACCGUGUACGUACAAGCAGUAGGAGCCUCUUUAUGGGGUGACUGCGUACCUUUUGUAUAAUGGGUCAGCGACUUAUAUUCUGUAGCAAGGUUAACCGUAUAGGGGAGCCGUAGGGAAACCGAGUCUUAACUGGGCGAAUGAGUUGCAGGGUAUAGACCCGAAACCCGGUGAUCUAUCCAUGGGCAGGUUGAAGGUUGGGUAACACUAACUGGAGGACCGAACCGACUAAUGUUGAAAAAUUAGCGGAUGACUUGUGGAUGGGGGUGAAAGGCCAAUCAAACCGGGAGAUAGCUGGUUCUCCCCGAAAGCUAUUUAGGUAGCGCCUCGUGAACUCAUCUUCGGGGGUAGAGCACUGUUUCGACUAGGGGGUCAUCCCGACUUACCAACUCGAUGCAAACUGCGAAUACCGAAGAAUGUUAUCACGGGAGACACACGGCGGGUGCUAACGUCCGUCGUGAAGAGGGAAACAACCCAGACCGCCAGCUAAGGUCCCAAAGUCAUGGUUAAGUGGGAAACGAAGUGGGAAGGCUCAGACAGCCAGGAUGUUGGCUUAGAAGCAGCCAUCAUUUAAAGAAAGCGUAAUAGCUCACUGGUCGAGUCGGCCCGCGCGGAAGAUGUAACGGGGCUAAACCAUGCACCGAAGCUGCGGCAGCGACACAAAGUGUUGUUGGGUAGGGGAGCGUUCUGUAAGCCUGCGAAGGUGUACUGUGAGGUAUGCUGGAGGUAUCAGAAGUGCGAAUGCUGACAUAAGUAACGAUAAUGCGGGUGAAAAACCCGCACGCCGGAAGACCAAGGGUUCCUGUCCAACGUUAAUCGGGGCAGGGUGAGUCGACCCCUAAGGCGAGGCUGAAAAGCGUAGUCGAUGGGAAACGGGUUAAUAUUCCCGUACUGGUGGUAACUGCGAUGGGGGAACGGAGAAGGCUAGGUUGUCCGGGCGACGGUCGUCCCGGUUCAAGCAGGUAGGCAGAGUGAUUAGGCAAAUCCGGUCACUUAAUGCUGAGAUGUGAUGACGAACCACCAAGGUGGUGAAGCAAUUGAUGCCCCGCUUCCAGGAAAAGCCUCUAAGCUUCAGGUUACCAACAAUCGUACCCCAAACCGACACAGGUGGUCAGGUAGAGAAUACUCAGGCGCUUGAGAGAACUCGGGUGAAGGAACUAGGCAAAAUGGUGCCGUAACUUCGGGAGAAGGCACGCUGGCGGUAGGUAAAGUCCCUCGCGGACAGAGCUGAAGCCAGUCGAAGAUACCAGCUGGCUGCAACUGUUUAUUAAAAACACAGCACUGUGCAAACACGAAAGUGGACGUAUACGGUGUGACGCCUGCCCGGUGCUGGAAGGUUAAUUGAUGGGGUUAGCGUAAGCGAAGCUCCUGAUCGAAGCCCCAGUAAACGGCGGCCGUAACUAUAACGGUCCUAAGGUAGCGAAAUUCCUUGUCGGGUAAGUUCCGACCUGCACGAAUGGCGUAAUGAUGGCCAGGCUGUCUCCACCCGAGACUCAGUGAAAUUGAACUCGCUGUGAAGAUGCAGUGUACCCGCGGCAAGACGGAAAGACCCCGUGAACCUUUACUAUAGCUUGACACUGAACAUUGAGCCUUGAUGUGUAGGAUAGGUGGGAGGCUUUGAAGUGUGGACGCCAGUCUGCAUGGAGCCAACCUUGAAAUACCACCCUUUAACGUUUGAUGUUCUAACCUAGGCCCAUAAACUGGGUCGGGGACCGUGUCUGGUGGGUAGUUUGACUGGGGCGGUCUCCUCCUAAAGAGUAACGGAGGAGCACGAAGGUUGGCUAAGCAUGGUCGGACAUCAUGCGGUUAGUGCAAAGGCAUAAGCCAGCUUGACUGCGAGAGUGACGGCUCGAGCAGGUACGAAAGUAGGUCUUAGUGAUCCGGUGGUUCUGAAUGGAAGGGCCAUCGCUCAACGGAUAAAAGGUACUCCGGGGAUAACAGGCUGAUACCGCCCAAGAGUUCAUAUCGACGGCGGUGUUUGGCACCUCGAUGUCGGCUCAUCACAUCCUGGGGCUGAAGUAGGUCCCAAGGGUAUGGCUGUUCGCCAUUUAAAGUGGUACGCGAGCUGGGUUUAGAACGUCGUGAGACAGUUCGGUCCCUAUCUGCCGUGGGCGUUGGAAGAUUGAGAGGGGUUGCUCCUAGUACGAGAGGACCGGAGUGAACGCACCACUGGUGUUCGGGUUGUCAUGCCAAUGGCAUUGCCCGGUAGCUAAGUGCGGAAGAGAUAACCGCUGAAAGCAUCUAAGCGGGAAACUUGCCUCGAGAUGAGUCUUCCCUGUCGCUUUAAGCGACCUAAAGGAACGUUUAAGACUAAGACGUUGAUAGGCUGGGUGUGUAAGCGUAGCGAUACGUUGAGCUAACCAGUACUAAUGAACCGUGAGGCUUAACCUGACAACACCGAAGGUGUUU
rnacentral:rRNA from 1 species